GAAUUUCCGUUUCCGGCGGUGUCCAAGCGGACCUAAGGAGUCGCAGUUGUGAACAGGUUAGAGUUACUUGUUAUUGGUAAAUAGCCACUAUGGAGACUAAGGACCAGAAGAAACACAGAAAGAAAAACAGUGGACCCAAAGCUGCAAAGAAAAAGAAGUGGCAUCUGCAGGAUCUCCAGCUAGGAGACGAAGAAAAUGCCCAGAAGAGAAAUGCCAAUGCUUUUGCAGUUCAGUCUGCUGUGUGGAUGUCUCGAUCCUUUCACAGGACUCUGGAUUUGAAGACACAAAAGCAUCAUAUUCCAGUGGUUGAUGGAACUCCACUAGAGCCGCCACCAAUAGCGGUAGUGGUGACGGGGCCUCCAAAGUUGGAAAGAGCACUUUGAUAUAAUGCCUCAUUCGGAACUUCACCUGGCAGAAGUUCACCGAGAUCAGAGGCCCUGUGACGAUCGUGUCAGGUAAAAAGCGCAGACUCACCAUUAUUGAAUGUGGGUGUGACAUUAACAUGAUGAUUGAUCUGGCUAAAGUAGCAGAUCUGGUACUGAUGCUUAUAGAUGCCAGCUUUGGGUUUGAAAUGGAAAUGUUUGAGUUUCUAAACAUCUGUCAAGCACAUGGCUUUCCUAAAAUUCUGGGAGUUCUCACCCACCUCGACUCCUUCAAGCAUAACAAGCAACUGAAGAAGACAAAGAAGUGAUUAAAACACAGGUUCUGGACAGAAGUUUACCAGGUUGCCAAACUGUUCUACCUUUCUGGAAUGGUGCAUGGAGAAUAUCAAAACCAAGAAAUCCACAAUCUGGGCCAUUUUAUUACAGUUAUGAAGUUUAGGCCUCUCAUGGCAAACUUUUCACCCUUAUAUCCUGGCAGACAGUUAAAAGGAUGGAAGAUUUGACAAACCCGGAGGAUAUCCAAACAAACAUCAAAUGUGACCUGCAGGUGUCACUUUAUGGUUAUUUAAGAGGAGCACACUUGAAAAAUAAAAGCCAAAUUCACAUGCCAGGACAAGGUGGGGCUCACCCAUGAGCUGGUCCAGAGUCUCAUCUCCACCUACUCCACCAUUGAUGCCAAGAUGGCUUCAAGUCGAGUGAUGCUGCUUUCCAAUUCCAAACCACUUGGGUCAGAGGCUAUAGAUAAUCAAGGGUAAGUCUGCUUUUUUUCUAUUUUUAAUAAAAAGAUAUAUUACAGAA
ensembl:lncRNA BMS1P1 BMS1 pseudogene 1